rnacentral:rRNA from 1 species
GACGAACGCUGGCGGCGUGCUUAACACAUGCAAGUCGAACGGAAAGGCCCUGCUUUUGUGGGGUGCUCGAGUGGCGAACGGGUGAGUAACACGUGAGUAACCUGCCCUUGACUUUGGGAUAACUUCAGGAAACUGGGGCUAAUACCGGAUAGGAGCUCCUGCUGCAUGGUGGGGGUUGGAAAGUUUCGGCGGUUGGGGAUGGACUCGCGGCUUAUCAGCUUGUUGGUGGGGUAGUGGCUUACCAAGGCUUUGACGGGUAGCCGGCCUGAGAGGGUGACCGGCCCCCUUGGGACUGAGAUACGGCCCCGACUCCUACGGGAGGCAGCAGUGGGGAAUAUUGCACAAUGGGCGGAAGCCUGAUGCAGCAACGCCGCGUGCGGGAUGACGGCCUUCGGGUUGUAAACCGCUUUCGCCUGUGACGAAGCGUGAGUGACGGUAAUGGGUAAAGAAGCACCGGCUAACUACGUG